GCUGUUGUAGCUCAGUUGGUAGAGCAACUGAUUCGUAAUCAGUAGGUCGGAGGUUCAAUUCCUCUCAACAGCACCA
rnacentral:tRNA from 1 species